UACGUAGGGUGCGAGCGUUAAUCGGAAUUAUUGGGCGUAAAGGGCGCGUAGGCGGCUUGGCAAGUGGAUGGUGAAAUCCCUCGGCUUAACCGAGGAACUGCCGUCCAAACUGCUUUGCUUGAGGCCGGGAGAGGCGAGUGGAAUUCCCAGUGUAGCGGUGAAAUGCGUAGAUAUUGGGAGGAACACCAGUGGCGAAGGCGGCUCGCUGGACCGGUUCUGACGCUGAUGCGCGAAAGCGUGGGGAGCAAACGGG
rnacentral:rRNA from 1 species